UGCCGGGAGUUUCCGUCUUGGUCUCCUUGGUUACCGCGUUACCUCGGUACCCAUAGCAACCAGAAAACUGGGUUCUGCCACUGUCCGCCGGCAGAGGGCGAAAAGGAGCCUGCGAAAUGAGAGAGAAGGGUGAUCACAGAAAGGAAAGGGCGGAAAAACUCAACAGGCUCUGGAAGCUUUCUGCCAGAGAGGAUCUUGGAGAUUAGGUACUCUGGAAGAGCAUCAAGAAAAUCUGACUGAAAAAAGAUUGACUGAGCUGGGUGUUGGAGUAUAAGCCAGAGUUUCACAGGUACUUAUCAUCUCUGCACAAGCCUUUGCAUCUUGAAAAUCCACCAGUUUUAUAGCACUCUGAAAAAAUUCCUUGUUGCCAUGGAGAUACUGUUCUUUCACAGUGAAUCCUUCUUGAAGUGAGGAAUCUGAGGCCCAGAGAGAUUAAGAAGCUUCACAAGUGACAUGACUUGUGCCAAAUCACAAGGUCAUUUAGUUGCAGAACUGGGACAGGAAUUCAUGCCCAGUUCUCUUUUCAAAACCCUGUGGAAAAAAGAAGCACAUUCAAUUUAGCCUUUGAUUCGUCAUCAGCAUUAUCAGAGAUGGGGUGCAUUUUUUUUUAAGAGAAAUGUUGGAAACAACCUACUGAAGAAAGGCUAAAUAAGACAAAAUAACCCAAAGCCCUCUUCCUGCUUUUCCAAAAGAAGAAAAAUGCAACCCAGAAAACCUGCAAAGUUUGAAACAAAAUGGCAAUCAAAUAUAAAUGAUACAAUAAAGUACUAUGCUCACUACCUGGGUGAUGAGAUCAUUUAUACCCCAAACCUUAGU